GCUGUUUAUUCCCAGUUCCGUCCCAGUGCUCCCAGUAAGAGCGGUCCUAGCACGGAAAGCGCUCCCAAUUCCUUCCGGGUUCUCUCAGGAUCGCUUCGAGUGCUCCCAGUAUUGGUUCCAGCACUGUGCAGGGCACGGCCACUUUGGAACCCCCCAGGGCAGAGCACGGCUGCUUUUCAGUGUCGGCACCGACCUGGGCCGGGCUGGGAGCGGAGGAGGGGGAGGAAGGAAAGAGGAGCGGGAAGAACAAGAAGGGGAAAGUCAGGAACAUGAGGAAGAGGAGCUGCAAGAGAAAGAGCAGCAGCAGAACCACUCGGCUCCCCCGCCCGCCCGCUCAGGCUGCAGUUCCCCCAACUCUGGCAGCAUCACCCUGCCCCCCCGGAACCCACAGGAUUUCCCAUUCCCAAAUCAUGGUCAGAUGGAGGAGGAGGCCGUGAGGAAGAUGGCCCAGAAGCCCUAUGCAGACAAGGAGCUGAGGAUGGAGACCAGGGAGGACAAAUCCCCACAGCUGAACCUUAUGGAAAAGGCAUUUUAAACCAGCUCCAUGGUGCAGGAAUCCAAGGAGGAGGAAAAGCCCCAGAGAUCCCUCAUGAGG